UACGUAGGGUGCAAGCGUUUGUCCGGAAUUAUUGGGCGUAAAGAGCUCGUAGGCGGUUUGUCGCGUCUGCUGUGAAAACCCGAGGCUCAACCUCGGGCCUGCAGUGGGUACGGGCAGACUAGAGUGCGGUAGGGGAGAUUGGAAUUCCUGGUGUAGCGGUGGAAUGCGCAGAUAUCAGGAGGAACACCAAUGGCGAAGGCAGAUCUCUGGGCCGUAACUGACGCUGGAGGAGCGAAAGCAUGGGGAGCGAACAGG
rnacentral:rRNA from 1 species